GCUGCCUGGUCUCUUGACUUAGUCCUCUUCUCCAUGGUGGCAUCUCCUCUACAUGAGGGAAAUUUUCUCUGUCGGGAUGAGCCCCCGGGGCACUUAUGGGUAGUGGGGACUGGAGAGUCUCCACCUGUGGGAACAGCGUGGCCCUCUCCCACUACUCCAUCUCCUGGGGUUUUGAUGGCUGGCCCCCUGCUGCUCAGAUUUAAGGGGGAGGCUGCCUGGUCUCUUGACUUAGUCCUCUUCUCCAUGGUGGCAUCUCCUCUACAUGAGGGAAAUUUUCUCUGUCGGGAUGAGCCCCCGGGGCACUUAUGGGUAGUGGGGACUGGAGAGUCUCCACCUGUGGGAACAGUACAGCCCUGCCCCACUGCUCCACUACCUGGGUUCUGGAUGGGUGGGCCCCAAGUGCCUGGAUUCAAGGUGGAACUAGCAUUUUGUCCAAAUACUGGGACGGUAUUUGUUCCUCCUACAGCAGCAGCCAUGCCAUCACCACAGCGAUUCCUGGUUGUCUGACCUAAAGUUGGAGCAGAAAUGGUUCUUGGUACCCCGUUCAGUCCUGCCCCAAGGUGGAAUGCUCCGGAUGCCUGUGAAUGAGCGGGGCCUGGGAUGUACACACCACUGCCCACAGGGGCUGCACGUCCCGAAAACACACGUCGGCCUGAAGUACUGUCAGCUAACGGCUGAGUUGCAGGUUGCAGAGGGCUUGCCUACUGGAGUGGAGGUGACUCCAGAAUCUGCAAGGGACAAGCUCCUGGAAACAGCAACACUGGCAAGAAGGGCUGUCUUGGGAUCUCCAGGUGGGCUGGUGAAAACUGGAGACUCUGCAGAGCCCCUCUGCUUUAAACUGCAACGACCCUGGGGAAAUGAAGGAGAUCCCAUUCCGGGUUCUUGGGGAGAUCUGAAAAAAACAGCCUUUGAAAAGGGAGUGGUGUCCAUGUUGAUGACACCAGGACCUGAAGUGAGCCUGGAGGUAGAUGUAGAUGCAUUGGCUGCGAUGGUAGAAGCAGCUGUCUUAGAAAUGAUGGGCUGGACAACUGAAACAGGGCUCUGUGUGGAAGGAUUUGGAAGAGGGGCGGGCAGGAUAGGAGGGGGGGCAUGUACACACAGAGGGACUGGGGAUUCUGCGAUGCAGGAGGGUGGCUGUAAGGAGGGGGUUGAGGUGUUAGCAAGUGUGGUGAUGUCAGAAAUAAGACAGGUUACAGCAGUGACUGGCUGAAGAGGGCCUUCUUUCUUCACAGGAAUUCCACAAAUGAGAUUGGAACUAAGAUGAGGAACAACACCAGCAGGAACAGCUGGAGAAGAUUUAGAAACCAUCUGGGCUGUCUCCUGAAUAAGGUUUGCUAUUAAAGAUGGAGGGACAGAGGCAGUCGGGGGCUUUGCAGAUUGGUCACCCAAGUCAUCAGUAGGAAUGGGGACUUGCAAAGUGUGACUCGCCAAAAGCAGAGAGUUAGCGGUCUCUGAGGCAAGUAGGCAUAAAGAAGUGGCUGACUGAGCAUCUGAGCAGUCUCCUUUGAUCUCUCUUUUGUCUCCCAAGGUCUUACUCCUCUGACAUUUGGUAUUCUUCAAGGUGUCCAGGUUUUUGUCAGUAGCUCCGCAAGGAAACCUAGGAAGUGGGGGCAACUCGCCCUGGCCCCACCACUGGGGUGGUGGCGGUGGCCGAGAAUGGGACGUGGAUGUUUUCCGUUUGCAGGGCCUACUGCUGGCAGCUACAGGGGAAAAAGAGCUCCUUGAUGAGAUGCCUGGAGGCUCAUUAGCCUGGAUCUCCUUCCUGGAGAGGUAUGAUGUGUCCCCGACAGGCUGAUGGCUUUCACCCGACACUUCCUUUGUUGAUGUCUCCUGCAGUAAGGGGCAGCGUGGGGGUGGGUCGGAGAGCGCUGCUGUAUCUGUAUCAGGCACGACAUUUCCGGCUGGGCCACGUGGGGAGGUGACUGCGCGGCCUACAGGGCGGCAGUGCAUCAGAGACUUCUGGGUAUUCUCCCUCAAACGGUCUUCUGGAGGAUUAGGACGGAGGUCCAACGGUGCGGGGCUGCGCUGCGAGGAAGUGAGAAGCCCACCGGUCUCCAGGGGACUAGAUUUUAAUGGUAUGCCCCCAACGUGAUGGGGGACCCUGUUCCCACCACUCUGCCCUUUGGUCUCUACAAGAUCCUCCAUCUUUUUUCUGGGAUCUUCUUGGACCUUCUCCUCCACCCCAAAUGGGCACAAAAGUGGGAGGUGCC
ensembl:lncRNA